rnacentral:rRNA from 1 species
GUGUCAGCAGCCGCGGUAAUACAGAGGGUGCAAGCGUUAAUCGGAUUUACUGGGCGUAAAGCGUGCGUAGGCGGUUCAGUAUGUCGGUCGUGAAAUCCCCGGGCUUAACCUGGGAACUGCGGCCGAAACUGCUGGGCUUGAGUGUGGUAGAGGAAGGUGGAAUUCCAGGUGUAGCGGUGAAAUGCGUAGAUAUCUGGAGGAACACCGAUGGCGAAGGCAGCCUUCUGGGCCACAACUGACGCUGAGGUACGAAAGCGUGGGUAGCAAACAGGAUUAGAUACCCCUGUAGUCC